GAAUUGAGUGAUCGAAUAUUUUCGCUCAAAGUAUUGUUAACUAACAAUUACUAAUUAACUAAUUACUAACAAUGGAUUUAAAAAAAUGUCACGCUUCUUAUCAUGUUUUGUAAAUUUAGAUAUUCAGUGACCUCGUGUAAAAAAAAAAGAAAUCAGAGCUGCUAGCAGAGCAGAAAUGAGUUUGACAAAUAUAAAAUUAACUUAACAAUUAACUGCGAAAUACGGCAUAGAUGUUUUACACAGGGUGGUAAGUGGGCCGGAUGGGAGAGCCUUAGUUUUUAUAGUAUUUUUCAGUAAUUAAAAGAAUUGGUGGUCAGCAGAUAUACUAAACCUUAUUUGUACUAAAGUUGAAACAAAGUUAUUUCAUGAUUGGUAUUGGUGUUAAAGUGGGGCGUCCACUGCGGGCACUUAGGCCACCAGAUGGGCCCGUUGUGCCCCUAGACCGCGCUAGAGGGCGUCCAGAAUGCCACUGCUCCUAUAGAAGGGUUGUAUUUCGGGUAUCCAUCUUUCCAGCACGUUUUCGUAGGAAACUUUGUCGGCUAGAGAAAAGCAAACCACGAACAUCUGCGCCUGAAAUCCAUUGAAGUGCGAAUGGCUUUAUGGUGAUCCCUUAGGGCGUGGCCUUUCGUUAGACUCCGCCCCUUAAGACGCGCGAUCGCGUCGACUCACCUUUUGCCGUGCAGAUGGUGCGUGAUCUGCUUCAGUUCCUGGUUGCUGAAU